rnacentral:rRNA from 1 species
ACGCUGGCGGCGUGCCUAACACAUGCAAGUCGAACGGAACUGUUUUGAAAGAUUUCUUCGGAAUGAAUUUGAUUUAGUUUAGUGGCGGACGGGUGAGUAACGCGUGAGUAACCUGCCUUCAAGAGGGGGAUAACAUUCUGAAAAGAAUGCUAAUACCGCAUGAUAUAUCGGAACCACAUGAUUUUGAUAUCAAAGAUUUUAUCGCCUGAAGAUGGACUCGCGUCCGAUUAGUUAGUUGGUGAGGUAACGGCUCACCAAGACCGCGAUCGGUAGCCGGACUGAGAGGUUGAACGGCCACAUUGGGACUGAGACACGGCCCAGACUCCUACGGGAGGCAGCAGUGGGGGAUAUUGCGCAAUGGGGGCAACCCUGACGCAGCAACGCCGCGUGAAGGAUGAAGGUUUUCGGAUUGUAAACUUCUUUUAUUAAGGACGAAAAAUGACGGUACUUAAUGAAUAAGCUCCGGCUAACUACGUGCCAGCAGCCGCGGUAAUACGUAGGGAGCAAGCGUUGUCCGGAUUUACUGGGUGUAAAGGGUGCGUAGGCGGCUUCGCAAGUCAGAUGUGAAACCUUUGGGCUCAACCCAUAAACUGCAUUUGAAACUGUAGAGCUUGAGUGAAGUAGAGGCAGGCGGAAUUCCCCGUGUAGCGGUGAAAUGCGUAGAGAUGGGGAGGAACACCAGUGGCGAAGGCGGCCUGCUGGGCUUUAACUGACGCUGAGGCUCGAAAG